rnacentral:lncRNA from 1 species
AUAAUGUCCUACGAGUCUUAUAGACUGAAUUUUAUUACAUUAACUCCAGAUUUAAAAGGAUUAUGUUAUUAUAGGGUUUAUCAUCAUUCAAUGAUGUGGCUGUUGACUUCACCUGGGGGAGUGGAAGCUAUUAGACCCUGUUCAGAAGAACCUCUACCAGGAUGUGAUGUUGGAAAAUUACAACAACCUAGUGUCACUGGGUUAUCAAGCUACCAAGCCAGAAGCAAUAUUCCAGUUGGGGAAAGAAGAACAAGGAAUAGUAGAGAGAGAAUUCCCAAGUUGGUGCAGUCCAGCACGAUGGAAUUUAGUCGCCAGAAAAUGACCAUCUCGCUAUCUGUAAGAAGCAUCUUCCAAGACUGCUGCUUCCAUGUGCACGCCUGGUUUCAAAGUCUGUAGACAUCUUGUGUUCCGCGAAGGUGCUACUGAGUCUGCACAAGAGCGUGACUACGGCAGUGAGUGAAGAGGCUACGGAAACCUGCUAGUCCUCAAGCGAAUGUUUGUGCGACUCCAGCUGUAGGGGGCUUCUUGGAAAUGACCACAGAAUGGCUGCCACUGUUCUGGACAUCACAUCAACGGGCCCUCCAGAGCCAAAAGGAUGAAGAUAAACAAAAAAACUGGCUUCAUUCACAUGCCUGUCUCAUUUUAUAAAGGAGGAAAACAUCGGCCAGCUGCGGUGGCUUAUGCCUGUAAUCCCAGCACUUUGGGAGGCCAAGGUGGGCAGAU